rnacentral:rRNA from 1 species
UAAUACGUAGGGGGCGAGCGUUGUCCGGAUUUAUUGGGCGUAAAGCGCGCGCAGGCGGUUCAUUAAGUCUGGUGUGAAAGCUCCCGGCUCACCUGGGAGAGGGCACUGGAGACUGGUGGACUGGAGCGAGGCAGAGGCCGGUGGAAUUCCCGGUGUAGUGGUGAAAUGCGUAGAGAUCGGGAGGAACACCAGUGGCGAAGGCGGCCGGCUGGGCCUUGACUGACGCUGAGGCGCGACAGCGUGGGGAGCGAACCGGAUUAGAUACCCGGGUAGUCCACGCCGUAAACGAUGGCCACUAGAUGUGGGGGGUAUCGACCCCCUCCGCGUCGUCGCUAACGCAGUAAGUGGCCCGCCUGGGGAGUACGGCCGCAAGGCUA